UACAGAGGGCGCGAGCGUUAAUCGGAAUUACUGGGCGUAAAGAGCUCGUAGGCGGUUUGUUGCGUCGGCUGUGAAAUCCCGAGGCUCAACCUCGGGUCUGCAGUCGAUACGAGCAAACUAGAGUGUUGCAGGGGAGACUGGAAUUCCUGGUGUAGCGGUGAAAUGCGCAGAUAUCAGGAGGAACACCGGUGGCGAAGGCGGGUCUCUGGGCAACAACUGACGCUGAGGAGCGAAAGCGUGGGGAGCGAACAGG
rnacentral:rRNA from 1 species